rnacentral:rRNA from 1 species
ACGAACGCUGGCGGCGUGCUUAACACAUGCAAGUCGCACGGAAAGGCCCUGCUUUUGUGGGGUGCUCGAGUGGCGAACGGGUGAGUAACACGUGAGUAACCUGCCCUUGACUUUGGGAUAACUUCAGGAAACUGGGGCUAAUACCGGAUAGGAGCUCCUGCUGCCUGGUGGGGGUUGGAAAGUUUCGGCGGUUGGGGGUGGACCCGCGGCUUAUCAGCUUGUUGGUGGGGUAGUGGCUUACCAAGGCUUUGACGGGUAGCCGGCCUGAGAGGGUGACCGGCCACAUUGGGACUGAGAUACGGCCCAGACUCCUACGGGAGGCAGCAGUGGGGAAUAUUGCACAAUGGGCGGAAGCCUGAUGCAGCAACGCCGCGUGCGGGAUGACGGCCUUCGGGUUGUAAACCGCUUUCGCCUGUGACGAAGCGUGAGUGACGGUAAUGGGUAAAGAAGCACCGGCUAACUACGUG